UGAUCACUAGAGGGUAUAACCUUGUCUUAGAGUAACUGUAUUACUCUAUGUAAUACAGUGCAGAUUUGCUGAAUGAAUCUAGGUGGUCAUGUGGAGCGGAGGACACUGGCCGUGGGAGGGGAUGUGCAGACUCUGGCUCUGCUCUCAGCUCCUAUGCUGUUGUGAGGAAAGGAGAUGGGAGCCAUGUCCUGUGGGUUGUGAAUUGUCAGGGAGAAGAAAGUGAAAGUGGAAAUUAAAGGGCCCAAGUAGGAGAGAGCAGAAGAAAAAGAAACAAACAAACAAGAACAACAUAAAAACAAGCAAUCGUGCAAACAAACAAACAACCAAUGGAGCAUCACAGGGCUAUGGAACAUUUAAUUAAGAAAAGACUUCCAUCUUGUUCCCAGAGGUGUUUAUGACUUAAUGGAUAUAAAUGGGUGCCAGCAUUAUGGGUGCUGCCUGUUAUCAUGUAUUAUAAUACCAGGGAAUGAUUGCAAGAGAUGCGCAAUAGGUAUCCAACUACAUACAUGAAAUUACAAAAAGACUGCAAUUUAAAACGGAAAUAUAGACAUGUUAAAAAUAUCAACCAUUUCCUAGUCAUUAUUGCUGAUUAAAUUUCAAAAAUGAAUAAUGCUGAGAGAACUUAUAGACCUGCAGACAACAGAUCCUUUAUUAUUAGAGAAAAAAAUAUUGGAUCAGAAUGAGCAAAUGCCAGCUUGUAUGUACAGAUCAAACCCGUGAAUCCAAGGCAUAAUUUCAAUUUCUCAACACAAUGUAUGAAAGGAUAUAUAGGCUAGCUUUAAUUUAAACAUUUAAAAGAGUUAGUUGAGGAUGCACUUUUUCGUUUCCUUUUGUUUUGAGAUGGAGUCUCGCUUUGUCGCCCAGGCUGGAGUGCAGUGGCACGAUCUCGGCUUACUGCAACCUCUGCCUUCCAAGUUCAAGCAAUUCUCAUGCCUCAGCCUCCCGAGUAGCUGGGACUACAGGCACGUGCCACCAUGCCUGGCUAAUUUUUGUAUUUUUAGUAGAGACAGGGUUUCACCAUGUUGGUCAGGCUAGUCUUGAACUCCUGACCUCAAGUGAUCCGCCCAUCUUGGCCUCCCAAAGUGCUGGGAUUACGGGUGUGAGCCACUGCACUUGGCCAAGGAUGUAGUUUUCAUUGAUGUUAAAAAGCUAAUCAAAUAAUUGACAAAAAUCUUCCUCAGGUACAAUGAGACAACCUAACUUUGACUAUGGUGUAAGAAAAAGUGCCACAGACGUGAUAAAUUGAACAUAAUAUUGCAUGCUUUACAAUUUUGUAGAAUUUUAUGUUUUAACUCUUCCACUAAGCUUCCAUUAAAGACUUUUU
rnacentral:lncRNA from 1 species